UGGGGAAUAUUGCACAAUGGAGGGAACUCUGAUGCAGCGACGCCGCGUGAACGAAGAAGGCUUUCGAGUCGUAAAGCUCUGUCCUAUGAGAAGAUAAUGACGGUAUCAUAGGAGGAAGCCCUGGCUAAAUACGUGCCAGCAGCCGCGGUAAUACGUAUGGGGCGAGCGUUGUCCGGAAUUAUUGGGCGUAAAGGGUACGUAGGCGGUUUUUUAAGUCAGGUGUCAAAGCGUGGAGCUUAACUCCAUUAAGCACUUGAAACUGAAAGACUUGAGUGAAGGAGAGGAAAGUGGAAUUCCUAGUGUAGCGGUGAAAUGCGUAGAUAUUAGGAGGAAUACCGGUGGCGAAGGCGACUUUCUGGACUUUUACUGACGCUCAGGUACGAAAGCGUGGGGAGCAAACAGG
rnacentral:rRNA from 1 species